CUCCAUUCAUCGAGAUUGAAACCAAGAGUGGCCCCUCCACUCCCAGGGCCCCGGAGAACAUGCAAGUCCGUGCAAAGCCACCCAGACGCGUUCCAUGGAAAGUCCUGCCCUCCGCUCCCCCUGGACAGCCUGUGCCAACGCAGCAAACACACCGUGGCUGCUGACACCUUCAACCAACCCUUGCUGGUCUUACUUGCAUGGAACUCUUUCCUUUUUUUUCAAAACACACCUUAACAUGCAGUGGAACACUUGUAUUCUUUGAAAAACAGUUGCAAAAAUUCCUGUCUAUCAAUAGGUUUUAAUUUAACAAGUGUUAUUCAGUUAGGUUUUUUUUUACAGCUUUCUUGAGAUCUGAUUUACACACCAUAUAAUUCAUCCAUCGAAAGUGAAUUCAGGGUUCAUAGCAUAUACUUUCAGGGUUGCGCGGCCGUGACCACCUAAUGUGAGAACAUUUUCAUCACAUCGCCCUUAAGGAGUCCUGGCCCUCUCGACAAGUCACCUCCCAGCCUCCUCCCGCAGCCCCGGCAAACGCUUACCCACUUUGUGUCUCCGCGGACUCGACCAGAAAGACAUUUCACUCCUGUGGAAUCACACGACGUUUUUCAGCGGGCGUUUCUCAGGUGCAUCCGUGCUGUAGCUCAGACUGGUCCUCGCCGCUUGGACUGCGGAAGAGCACCCGUGGUGUGUGGGGCUCAUCAGCCAGCAACGCUGUUGGUGAAACUCGUCCGCGCACAGUGAGGGGGCUUUUCCCAGGACCGUUGCAAGGCGCCAGGACCACUGCUGCGUUUUGAGUGGGGAGGGAGAUUGGGCUCCACACCGAAUACUGCGGGGAAAGUGGGACGUGCCGCCACCGAGCAGGGAAACCUCUGGGGUGAGGGCUCCUGGCUAAGCCAGGCUAAUGGGAUUCCUGCCGAGGGCAGGCCAGGUGGUCAGACACGGCCUGGAGCAGGUAUGGGAUGGGAAACCGUGAGAUCCUGAGCGUGGGGGGAUUUGGAGGGUGGGGCUGCUGGCUCAGCAUCGAAGCAGGGUCCUCGCGAAACUGGAGAAAACAGGGAUGAGCAGAGAAACCCGGAGUUAAGUCCUGCAGGAAGCACAGCCCGGGGCCGAGGAGAGUCUGGCCGAGGAGGCACCUGCACCAGUGGACACGCGGGCUUUCCAGCCUUUGCUGAUUGGCUUCAGGAAACGCAAGGGAACAGUCGGGAAGUGGACUCUGCAGUCGGAACCAGAACCGCCAGAUCCCAGACGUCUCCUGCGCCUCGGUCAGCGCCUCCCCACACCCUGGAGCCUGGGACCGCCUCUCUUUCCGUCACUGUCGUGUUGGCUCUUCUGAAGCGCCAUAAGUUUUGUGGAGGUGCCAUCACACCGUGUGUCGUCAUUCGUCUGUGG
rnacentral:lncRNA from 9 species